rnacentral:misc_RNA from 1 species
UUUCCGUAGGUGAACCUGCGGAAGGAUCAUUAUUGUAUAACCGAGGUGCGAGGGCUGUCGCUGACCCGACAGUUCGUGCACGCCCGAGGGCCCUCACACACAUCCAUCUCACCCCUAUGUGCACCACCGCGUGGGUCCCCCUUUGGCUUGUUCGGAGGGGGGCUUACGUUUUCACACAAACUUUGUAUGCAGUGUAGAAUGUAUUUUUUGUUUUUGCGAUCACGCAAUCAAUACAACUUUCAACAACGGAUCUCUUGGCUCUC